UACGUAGGGGGCAAGCGUUGUCCGGAUUUAUUGGGCGUAAAGAGCGUGUAGGCGGCCUUACAGGUCAGCUGUGAAAACUCGAGGCUCAACCUCGAGACGUCGGUUGAAACCGUAAGGCUAGAGUCCGGAAGAGGAGAGUGGAAUUCCCGGUGUAGCGGUGAAAUGCGCAGAUAUCGGGAAGAACACCCGUGGCGAAGGCGGCUCUCUGGGACGGUACUGGACGCUGA
rnacentral:rRNA from 1 species